rnacentral:rRNA from 1 species
CUAGUUGGUAAGGUAACGGCUUACCAAGGCAACGAUGCAUAGCCGACCUGAGAGGGUGAUCGGCCACACUGGAACUGAGACACGGUCCAGACUCCUACGGGAGGCAGCAGUAGGGAAUCUUCCGCAAUGGGCGAAAGCCUGACGGAGCAACGCCGCGUGAGUGAUGAAGGUCUUCGGAUCGUAAAACUCUGUUAUUAGGGAAGAACAUAUGUGUAAGUAACUGUGCACAUCUUGACGGUACCUAAUCAGAAAGCCACGGCUAACUACGUGCCAGCAGCCGCGGUAAUACGUAGGUGGCAAGCGUUAUCCGGAAUUAUUGGGCGUAAAGCGCGCGUAGGCGGUUUUUUAAGUCUGAUGUGAAAGCCCACGGCUCAACCGUGGAGGGUCAUUGGAAACUGGAAAACUUGAGUGCAGAAGAGGAAAGUGGAAUUCCAUGUGUAGCGGUGAAAUGCGCAGAGAUAUGGAGGAACACCAGUGG